rnacentral:rRNA from 1 species
UACGUAGGGUGCAAGCGUUGUCCGGAAUUAUUGGGCGUAAAGAGCGUGUAGGCGGUUCGGUAGGUCCGUUGUGAAAACUCGAGGCUCAACCUCGAGACGCCGAUGGAAACCAUCAGACUAGAGUCCGGAAGAGGAGAGUGGAAUUCCUGGUGUAGCGGUGAAAUGCGCAGAUAUCAGGAAGAACACCCGUGGCUAAGGCGGCUCUCUAGUACGGUACUGACGCUGAGACGCGAAAGCGUGGGGAGCGAACAGG